GCGGCAAUGGGAGCAACAGGCAGCUGAUUGGCGGUAUUCUAGGAGGCUGAUCCAACUGCCAAUCGGAGAGGUGGGAUUCAGACUGUUUGGAUGAACUGUUAAUUAAAUUUUGGAGAAUUGGCUGAUUCCACCAGUCGAGUUGUUAGCCAAGGACGCCCUGCCAUAGUGCCAGACCUGCUGCCUUGUCAGAGUUUGUUGCAGAAAAUCAAAUCCAGAAAGCACACACAGGUAACUGAUGCAGCAGGAUUCAUUAACUUCUCUUUAUAUACAAUAUAACACAUGAAGAUAAAUAUACAAUACCAAUGGCUGAUUCUUCCAACGUGGUAGAGAGGAGAGAUCAGGUUCAGUUCAGUUCAGAGAGGCAGAUAAGACCAGACUUGUUUAGUUCUCAGCACAAAAUUUAAUACAGACAAAGGGAACCUCCUCCAUACAGGGCAGUUAACCUAAGCCUAAGCCACGCCCAGGCUCCAAGCUGUUUCAGCUCCCAAACAGCCCUCAUUGGCUGACUUAGUUGCUAUGCUUAUACAUUGGCUGACCUUGUUACCUUGUCCUAUUCCAGCCAGUCCCCAAUGGCUGACCUGUUGCCAUGUCUAUCCCAGUUCAUGAAUAUUCUGACAAGACCUGCUGCCAGACCUGCCGCCUGACCUGCUGCCAGAUCGCUGCUGCCCCAUCACUGCUAGAUCUGCUGCCCAACCGCCGCCGCCCCAUCGCCGCCAGACCUGCCAUCCCAUCGCCGCUGUCUGAUCACCAUUAGCUGAGGACGACAACGCCCCAUCGCCGUUAGCCAAGAACACCCUGCCACACUGCUGGACCUGCUGUUUCGCUGCCAGACCUGCCUGAUCACCGUUAGCCACAGACGCUGGCGCCCUAUCGCUGUUAGCCAAGGACACCCUGCCACACUGCCGGAGCUGCUGCUUCACCGCUGGACCUGCUGUCCCAUUGUCACCGGCGGUGUAGAGGGCAGAUCUGCUGCCUGACCUGCUGUCCCAUUGCCGCCUGAACUGCCAUCUGACCUGCUGCCCCAUUGCUGCUGCCCGAUCGCUAUUAGCCAAGGACACUCUGCCACAUCACCGGACCUGCUGCCUGACCUGCCACUGGACGUGCCACCCCAUCGCCACCGCCUGAUCUGCCACCGGACUUGCCAUCUCAUCACUGCCAGAUCUGUCACCCAAUCACCAUUAGCCAAGGACGCCCUGCCACACUACCAGACCUGCCAACUCACCACAGGACCUGCCGCCCAAUUGCCACUGCGGACCUGCCACCUGACCUACUGGUGGACCUGCCGCCCCAUCGCCACCAGACCGCAUCAGAGAGAGAAAAAGAAAAAGACGCUACAUACCGGUACAACGAUGUCAAAGCAAAAAAGGCAAGCAUAUAAAAUCUAUUUCAAGCUGGAAGUCGUGAAAUAUGCUGAGGAAUAUGGAAACAGAGCAGCAGGGAAACAUUUUGGACCACCUAAAACUGAAAAAAUGAUAAGAAAGUCAAGGAAACAGGUGGAUCAGCUGCAAAAAAUCAAGGAUAAAAGCAAGCACAACUUUUGUAGGCUUCCUGCAAAGUGGCCACAGUUAGAGGAGGAUAUGAAAGACUGCAUCACACGUCACCGGAACAGUAGCUUUGCAGUUUCCACAAAAAAAUUGAUAUAUGAAGCCAAACACAUUGCUGCACAGAAAGGCAUUCGGGAUUUUAUUGGAUCGCCAUUGUGGGGCUUCAGAUUUAUGAGGAGAGAUGGUCUUGCUAUGCGCACCAAAACUAGAAUUACGCAAAAAAUGCCAAAAGGGUAUGAAUCUUAAGAUUCUGUCUUUUCAUACUUUUGUGAUAGUCCAGGAAGAAAAAUAAUUUUGAAAUUGGCCAGAUUGGGAAUAUGGAUGAAGUUCCGCUAACCUUUGAUGUGCCAUCCAAUAAGGUGCCAAAAGCAUAACCGUGAAUACCUCAGGAGAUGAGAAAAUACAUUACACGGUUGUGUUGUUCUGCUGUGCAGACGGCACCAAAUUGCCACCAAUGUUAAUAUUCAAAAGGAAAACCUUCCCAAAGGAAGUGAUUCCAAGAGGUGUUGUUGUGCAUGUCCAUGAGAAAGGAUGGAUGGACGAACAUGGAAUGAAAGUAUGGAUUGAAAAAGUGUGGUCCCAACGUCUGGGAGGGCUUCCGAAAAAACCUCCUUUGUUAGUGCUUGACCAGUUUAGAGCACAUAUUAGUGAAACCACAAAGAAAAGAUUCAAAGAAGUGAAGACUCAUCUAGCUGUAACUCCUGGGGCUCUUACCACCCUGUUGCAACCUCUUGACAUUUCCAUCAACAAACCAUUCAAAGUGUACAUGCGAGAAGAGUAGAACAAAUGGAUGGCUGCUGGUAAUCCUCAUCUGACACCCACUGGACGAAUGAGGAGGCACACUGUCACUCAGGUUUGUGAAUGGGUAAAAACAUAAUGAAACUCAGUGAAGGACGAAAUUGUUACACGAUCAUUCAAAAAAUGUGGCAUUAGCAAUGCCUUAGAUGGAACUGAAGAUGAUAUUUAUGAAGGUAGUGAAGAAAGUGAUGUCAGUGAUUGUGAGCAACUGAGCUUCCUAAAUUCUGACACCAGCGAUGAUGAUGAAUUCUUUGGGUUUCCAGAAAAUUAGAGGAAUGCUUGAACCUUAAAGUCUCUCCUCAUUUGUUAAUGACAGUCAUGAUGGUUCUUAAUACCGCUGUUGACUUUACAUGGUUGUUAAAAUUAUGCUUGGUUAUAAAAAUUAUUCUGCUAUAUUUUAUUAAAUAUAUUAUUACACCAUU